AUUGAACGCUGGCGGCAUGCCUUACACAUGCAAGUCGAACGGUAACAGGUCUUCGGAUGCUGACGAGUGGCGAACGGAUGAGUAAUACAUCGGAACGUGCCUAGUAGUGGGGGAUAACUACUCGAAAGAGUGGCUAAUACCGCAUGAGAUCUACGGAUGAAAGCAGGGGAUCGCAAGACCUUGUGCUACUAGAGCGGCCGAUGGCAGAUUAGGUAGUUGGUGGGAUAAAAGCGUACCAAGCCGACGAUCUGUAGCUGGUCUGAGAGGACGAUCAGCCACACUGGGACUGAGACACGGCCCAGGCCCCUACGGGAGGCAGCAGUGGGGAAUUUUGGACAAUGGGCGCAAGCCUGAUCCAGCAAUGCCGCGUGCAGGAUGAAGGCCUUCGGGUUGUAAACUGCUUUUGUACGGAACGAAAAGCCCUGGGUUAAUACCCUGGGGUCAUGACGGUACCGUAAGAAUAAGCACCGGCUAACUACGUGCCAGCCGCCGCGGUAAGAC
rnacentral:rRNA from 1 species